UACGAGGGGGGCAAGCGUUGUUCGGAAUUAUUGGGCGUAAAGGGUGCGUAGGCGGUUUUGUAAGUCUUGUGUGAAAUCUUCAGGCGCAACUUGAAGACUGCACGAGAAACUGCAGGGCUUGAGUGUGGGAGAGGUGAGUGGAAUUCCUGGUGUAGCGGUGAAAUGCGUAGAUAUCCCCAAGAACACCAGUUGCGAAGGCGGCUGACUGGACACAUAUUGACGCUGAGGCUCGAAAGCAUGGGGAGCAAACAGG
rnacentral:rRNA from 1 species